UUUGCUGCAUUGUCUUCUUAUUUCCUGCUCUAAUUUCCCCCGUUCCUGCCGGUUGUGAAACUCUCCCUCCUGCAUGGAAUCUUAAAGCUGGGGGGAGAGGGGGAGACCGUGAAUUUUAUUAUAAAUCCUAAUCCUCCUUUAAGUUUUUCCUGGGUGGAAAAUAAUGGCACAAAGCCAAUUAAAGUGCUUGUUAAAGCUGGAUGCCCUUAAAUAAUUAUAUCAGAGAACUUUAAAGUGAUUAACGCAGCUUGGUAUCCAUUUAAAAGCUAGCUGCGAGCUUGAAUAGAAAACUUUUUACAGGAAAUACGUAGAUGCUCCUAUCUUACCACUGGCCUGAUCUGACUACAGCUCUUUAUGGGAGGAGAGCAAGCAGCCAUGUUUUGGGUGCCAUUCUUGUCCUCAGAACCUAUCUUUAAGUGAUUCCCAGAUGCUGACAAGAGGCCAACUAGUAGAAUGUGGGACAGAGUCUGAUUUUAAUCCCUCUGCUUCCCCGGCAUUCUGGUAUGUAUUGGCUUAAUUAAUGUUUAUCCAUCGAAGGUAUGAAGCUAGAACUGCAGAGUGUUAUCAUGGUUACAUUAGAAAUCCUCUUUCCCAUACUUUAAUACAAAAUAAAGAUUAUUUUUCCAGA